rnacentral:rRNA from 1 species
UAGGGAAUCUUCCACAAUGGGCGCAAGCCUGAUGGAGCAACGCCGCGUGAGUGAAGAAGGUCUUCGGAUCGUAAGACUCUGUUGUUAGAGAAGAACAUGCAGGAGAGUAACUGUUCUUGUAUUGACGGUAUCUAACCAGAAAGCCACGGCUAACUACGUGCCA